rnacentral:rRNA from 1 species
UACGUAGGGUGCAAGCGUUAAUCGGAAUUACUGGGCGUAAAGCGUGCGCAGGCGGUUAUGCAAGACAGAUGUGAAAUCCCCGGGCUCAACCUGGGAACUGCAUUUGUGACUGCAUGGCUGGAGUGCGGCAGAGGGGGGUGGAAUUCCACGUGUAGCAGUGAAAUGCGUAGAUAUGUGGAGGAACACCGAUGGCGAAGGCAGCCCCCUGGGUUAACACUGACGCUCAUGCACGAAAGCGUGGGGAGCAAACAGG